CAACUACUCCCUCUGUCCCAAAUUUCUUGUCUUAGAUUUGUCUAGAUAUGGAUGUAUCUAAUACUAACAUGUGACUUGAUACAUCCGUAUCUAGACAAAUCUAAGACAAAAUUUUGGGAUGGAGGGAGUACUUU
rnacentral:pre_miRNA from 1 species